UGAUCAGGACCGCAUGAACGUGAAGUGCA
rnacentral:piRNA from 1 species